rnacentral:rRNA from 1 species
UACGAAGGGUGCAAGCGUUGUUCGGAAUUACUGGGCGUAAAGGGUGCGUAGGUGGGUGUGUAAGUUUUAUGUGAAAUCCCCGGGCUUAACCCGGGACCUGCAUAAGAUACUGCACGUCUUGAAUGCUUGAGAGGAAGGCGGAAUUCCAGGUGUAGAAGUGAAAUUCGUAGAUAUCUGGAGGAACAUCCGAGGCGAAGGCGGCCUUCUGGCGAGACAUUGACACUGAGGCACGAGAGCGUGGGUAGCAAACAGG